rnacentral:lncRNA from 1 species
AGGGAAGAACCUGGCUGAGAUGCACCUGCAACUGUUUGGAGCUGGUGACCUUGGGCCCAGCACACCCUCGCUGCUGGUGGACACAGUACCAGCGCUGCCCCUCACGAGCAGCUGCGAGGCCCUCGGGCAGUGGCAUGGGCGCCGUCGCUUCCUGCCAACCCCACAUCCUCAUUUCCCACGCUUCUCCUUCCACCUUCCAUGAUCACUGGGACCUACUGCCUCAGGACCCGCCUCAGAGGGACAGAGGGAAGCAGACCACCCUUUUCUUCAGAGAGUUCAUGGCCCAGGGAGGGAACGCUGGCUGGGGACGAUCACAAAGCCUCUCUGGUGCCCGGCCAGCGACAGGGACCCUCGGGGCUGCGGGGGGAGAGGACGCCCCUGCCCUGGCCGCACAGGGUUGGGUUAGAGGUGAGCUGGGGCCGGAGAAGCCACAGGAGCCAUGUGGCGCCUUCUCAGGAGGUGCUUCCGCAGCUUCGCCUCCUCUCGUCUUCCGUGUGCAGGGAGGGACCAGCCGAGUGACAGCUGGGAGCAAAACUGGUCACCUCCCCUCGGGCUCUGGGCAACUGUCAACCUGCAGCUUUGAGUCUCUCCCUCUGGAAUCUUCUAUCUGGGGUAUGAUAAUGUUAUUAUAUACGUUGGUUAUUUACAGCGCAACAUGAAAAGGCAAUUUGUAAGGACUGGUCCAUCUAAUCAGGGCGAAUCACCGGUCUUCUGAGUCAUCGUACUGAGUUUAGUUUCUGACUAAUUGCUAAAUAUCUUCACAUUGCGUGGAUAUUGCCCAGCUCUUCCUCCCUUGCUGCAGGUGUCCCUGUGGAUGCUGAGCUUCCACGGAGGGGCUGCUGCCCCCUCUGCCCCCACAGCUUAGCUCGAGUUCACCAGUGGGGAAGGGCCGAGGGCCUGUGGAAUGAGGGCUCCGUUCCCCCACCGCAAGGAGUGAACAGCACCGAGGUUCCCGUCGCCGAGCCGCAGCGCUGUGCAAGCCCUCGAUGGGCGACGGACACCAGGCCCCAGCCCAACGCGCUUCCUUUGGCUCCUCCUGAACUGGGGGGGCCUCGCACCCGCCUUGCCAGGGCCCUGGCAUCUGUCUCACUGGCCUUUCUCACCUGGUAUUCCAGCGAGGAGGGCACUUCAGUUUUACCUCCCUUUGAGAGGCAAGAUCUUCUCAACCCACAAGAAGAGGCGACCAGGUCCUGGGUGACAGUCGAAUAAGCCUGGUCCAACUGGGAACAAGUCUUCUGGGCCCUAAUUUCCCACAUGGUGUUUGUUCUUGUCUGACAAAAUCACAGCCUUCCACGUUCAAGAAUCUUCAUUCAUCUCUCUCUUUCAGCGAAUGUUCCCUAAGCUCUCCCAUCACUGAGCACUGCUGCCAACAGCCCAGCUGCAUGCUACCACUUUGGUUUGAUGGAGAGAAGGGCUCAGAACCUCGUGCAAGUGGGAGGCAAGCACAAGUACAAAGGCAUCUUCUGGAGCCAAGGCGGGGGCCGCAGAGGGUCUGUCUCAGUGAGAUCCCACUGUCUUCCAGGGUUUGCCACCACAGCAGUAAGCCCCGGAGUGGCCCCACACCCUAAGAUCCACGGGGGAAAAGGUGGAUGUCUCAGCAUGGGUUUGUAACAUUGUCCUCUUAAAUAAGCAGAAUUAGGAGCAAGCAUUACGAGGGGUGGCCAGCUGUGGCUUUUGAGGGGCACCUGACCUCCCAUCUGCCUUCUGAGCACCAGCUGCCCCAGGUGAGGUGUGUGGAGUUCCACAGCUAUGAUGAGCCAUCGCCAUGGAGAACAGCGGCUCAUGAUUGCUUUGAUUUAAAUUGAAUUAAGGUGAAAAUGAAUCAGGGCAUAACUCUCUUCUUUCAGCCAGAUGCCUUUCUGAACCGGUGUAUAUACGACUUAAAAAAGUCACGAGGGUUUUGGGCCCAGGGAUCAGGCAGGAAGGAAAGGCAGUGCGGUGCAAGGAGGGGUGGGUUAGAAAUUGUAUCCAGAACCGCUGUGGCUUGUACUGAAGGAAGAAACUUCGUAGUUCUGCUUCUAUUUCUACGACAACACCAAGGAAGGUGUGUGGGGUGGGGAGCAGGUACACACAGGUCCUUGGUAUUACCAGUGGUCCAGGAUUGUAUAAUUCCGUUUAUUCUACCCAUCCCACACCCUGACCCUGACUCAAGUCCUGCGGCCCCUUGGUGCCCUGAGCCCCCUCCCCUGCCUGUUCCUAAGCAAUCAAUCACCCUAAGACCCCGUUCUAGGUUUCAGCAGAUGAGGACGAGUUAAUCAGACAAAUAAGCCAUGGGGUAGGCAGGGGUUGUGGGUGCUGCUUCCUGGUGCCUCUGGCAAACCAGAAGGGAGCUGCCUCCCCGCGGUCCCCACCCUGUCUCCAAGCUUCCCAGCAGAGCCCCAUAUCCAGCAAUUGGGCCCAGCUUUAACCAGACGGAGGAGCAGCCUGACGUCCUGCCAGCCCCAGAGACAGAUGUGGGCACAGGAAGGGAAGGCAGGGAGGAGAGGAAGCCAAUAAAAAGUGUUAGCAUCCGUCAGGGUGACCCUUUACAGAAACUGCGUCAGCCUGAGGACGCAGGGACAGGCUGUGCGGAGAAGCUGCUGGCCUUUGCCGCUUGAAAGCUGGGUCCCUGCGGCCUCCCCACCCCAGGGCUCCCUCGGAGAAAUUCUCAUAGAACCCCUAAGCAAUGCGCGGGGAAAGAACGGAUGCCACCCGGAAGCAUGCCGAGGAAGAGUCCAUUCAUGGGAACUUCCAGAGCCGGUCACAGAGGCCAGAUCCACGAUCAGCUGCAUGGCAGGGGCUUGCCCGCAGGACCGGAACCUUGUAGAAGAUACUACAUUCAACACAGACGUACUGUGUGCCUCCUGCGUGUGAGGCCUGGUGCUCAUGGCGCGUGUCCUUGCAUGCAAAAUUCUACUCUUCAUCUUGACGUUUCCAGACAUUCAGCUGUUCCUCAGGGAACCAUUUACCUUCCCUCUGCCUUUUCUGUAAAAUGCAUGGACUGAGGAAUUACUAACGCAUAACACUUCGUUUGCUGGAUACCAAGUAGACGCACUCUUACCAUAUACAGGGCUGUAUCUAGGCGGCCAGUUAUUAGAAUAAAAACAAAAUACUAUGUUCAUCCGCUCAGAU